CAUACUAAACUAUGAUGUUUUUCCAACAUAAUAAACUACGAUGUUUCUCCAACAUACUAAACUACGAUGUUUUUCCAACAUAAUAAACUACGAUGUUUCUCCAACAUACUAAACUACGAUGUUUUUCCAACAUACUAAACUACGAUGUUUUUCCAACACACUAAACUACGAUGUUUCUCCAACAUACUAAACUACGAUGUUUUUCCAACAUGCUAAACUAUGAUCUUUUUCCAACAUGCUAAACUACGAUGUUUCUCCAACAUACUAAACUACGAUGUUUUUCCAACAUGCUAAACUACGAUGUUUCUCCAACAUACUAAACUACGAUGUUUCUCCAACAUACUAAACUACGAUGUUUUUCCAACAUGCUAAACUACAAUCUUUUUCCAACAUACUGAACUACGAUGUUUCUCCAACAUGCUAAACUACGAUGUUUCUCCAACAUACUAAACUACGAUGUUUCUCCAACAUACUAAACUACGAUGUUUUUCCAACAUGCUAAACUAUGAUCUUUUUCCAACAUACUGAACUACGAUGUUUUUUCAACAUGCUAAACUACGAUCUUUUUCCAACAUACUAAACUACGAUCUUUUUCCAACAUACUAAACUAAGAUGUUUUUCCAACAUGCUAAAUUACGAUGUUUCUCCAACACGCUAAACUACGAUGUUUCUCCAACAUACUAAACUAUGAUGUUUCUCCAACACGCUAAACUACGAUGUUUUUCCAACAUACUAAACUAUGAUGUUUUUCCAACAUACUAAACUACGAUCUUUUUCCAACACGCUAAACUACGAUGUUUCUCCAACAUACUAAACUACGAUGUUUUUCCAACAUGCUAAACUAUGAUCUUUUUCCAACAUGCUAAACUACGAUGUUUCUCCAACAUACUAAACUACGAUGUUUUUCCAACAUGCUAAACUACAAUCUUUUUCCAACAUUCUAAACUACGAUGUUUUUCCAACAUGCUAAACUACGAUGUUUCUCCAACAUACUAAACUACGAUGUUUCUCCAACAUACUAAACUACGAUGUUUUUCCAACAUGCUAAACUACAAUCUUUUUCCAACAUACUGAACUACGAUGUUUCUCCAACAUGCUAAACUACGAUGUUUCUCCAACAUACUAAACUACGAUGUUUCUCCAACAUACUAAACUACGAUGUUUUUCCAACAUGCUAAACUACGAUCUUUUUCCAACAUACUGAACUACGAUGUUUUUUCAACAUACUAAACUACGAUGUUUUUCCAACAUGCUAAACUACGAUGUUUCUCCAACAUGCUAAACUACGAUGUUUCUCCAACAUACUAAACUACGAUGUUUCUCCAACAUGCUAAACUACGAUCUUUUUCCAACAUACUGAACUACAAUGUUUUUUCAACAUGCUAAACUACGAUCUUUUUCCAACAUACUAAACUACGAUCUUUUUCCAACAUACUAAACUAAGAUGUUUUUCCAACAUGCUAAAUUACGAUGUUUCUCCAACACGCUAAACUACGAUGUUUCUCCAACAUACUAAACUAUGAUGUUUCUCCAACACGCUAAACUACGAUGUUUUUCCAACAUACUAAACUAUGAUGUUUUUUCAACAUACUAAACUACGAUGUUUUUCCAACAUGCUAAACUACGAUGUUUCUCCAACAUGCUAAACUACGAUGUUUCUCCAACAUACUAAACUACGAUGUUUCUCCAACAUGCUAAACUACGAUCUUUUUCCAACAUACUGAACUACAAUGUUUUUUCAACAUGCUAAACUACGAUCUUUUUCCAACAUACUAAACUACGAUCUUUUUCCAACAUACUAAACUAAGAUGUUUUUCCAACAUGCUAAAUUACGAUGUUUCUCCAACACGCUAAACUACGAUGUUUCUCCAACAUACUAAACUAUGAUGUUUCUCCAACACGCUAAACUUCGAUGUUUUUCCAACAUACUAAACUAUGAUGUUUCUCCAACAUGCUAAACUACGAUCUUUUUCCAACAUGCUAAACUACGAUAUUUCUCCAACAUACUAAAAUACGGUUUCUCCAACAUGCUAAACUACGAUGUUUCUCCAACAUGCUAAACUAAGAUGUUUUUCCAAUAUGCUGAACUACGAUCUUUUUCCAACAUGCUAAACUAUGAUCUUUUCCCAACAUGCUAAACUACGAUAUUUCUCCAACAUACUAAAUUACGAUGUUUUUCCAACAUGCUAAACUACAAUGUUUUUCCAACAUUCUAAACUACGAUGUUUCUCCAGCAUACUAAAUUACGAUGUUUUUCCAACAUGCUAAACUAGCAAACCCCUCAGAGAGCUCAGUCCUCCUCCAAAGCUGCUCGGUCGUAUCGUUUCCAGCGGCUGAAAUCUUGAAAAAUUUGGUGGCAGAAAUCAUGUGUCUGUUUAAUGCAGACGUAGCCUCAAACUAAAUGACCUGCGCUGAGCACAGGCGUGUGCUUUGUUCAUUUUAUAGAAACUGGCCAGAUGUCUGCACAAACUGGUGUAAAACCUGCAGCGAGGGCAGCCGGGUCGAGGCUGAACUAAACGGAGACGUGACUUUAUUUAGAGGAAAAGAUGCUUUGAAACCUUCGGGCCUGAUUUUCUUCAGCUUCCUGUACAGAUUCUGAAAAUGCAAAGUGACAAUGGAUGGAUUUUAGCAGAAUUAAAGGAGCAGAUGUCGUUCCUUUUUUGAUUCAUCCAGCAGAAACUCCAGCCCGUCUUCAGACCAGACGCUGUGUGACCCUGAAAGUGAUCAGCGGUUGUUUUAAAUCGUGAGGAGCUUCAGAGACGAGGCUCAGCGGGGAUGGAAGCCUUCAGACUGGAAACAUUCAGCUGAUUCUGCACCUCGGAGAGUUGGAGUGUUGUUGUUUUAGACACUGACCCACAAACCCCAAACAGUGGGAGGAUGUUCAGAGCGAGCCGGGCCACCCACAGGACCAGGAAACAGCAGAAACACCGGCUGAAAAUCAGUCCAAGCGGAAAGAAUCUCAGUGAGAGCGUGAAGAAUCAGCGAUGUGGAGAAAGAGGAGGAGGCGCUGGUCUCACCUUGAUGAUGUCACCGCUGCUUCUGACUGCAUCGAUCAGGACGGUAUGUAGGGAUGAAGACUUCCACCUACACGUGGUGGACUGUCAGCAUUGCUCUGCUGCUCUGUUAGCUUCCUGACCUCCAGCAGCACCUCCAGCCUCCAGCAGCUUCCAGAGGAGAACCAGCGGAACAAGGAUUCCAUCUGAAGACCCCUCUGGUGAAAAUCUACUUUCUAACCUGGCUAACGUGGAGUUUCUGGACCACAUACCAUGGGCGAUGUUAGCCGUCAGCUAAGCUAAGCGCGACAUCCCAUCAGAGGUCACCUAGGUUAAGCUGGACUUUAUAGACGCUCUUCAACGUUCUCCAGUUCCUCCUGGAGGAUCUGGAGGCGUUCCUAGGCCAGAUGAGAUACAAGGGUCAUGUCAGACCUGGAGGACAUGUUUGAAAAAUAAACCUUCUCUUUUCCA